UUUUUUCCGCUCUCACUUUUCUGCUUCCUUGACCUUCUCGUUUUUCUCUUCUUUCCUUCCUUCCUUCCUUCCUUUCUUUCUUCCUUCCUUCCUUGCUUGCUCCUAUUUUUUCCUGUGACCUAAUUUUCCUUUUCAUCACCUUUCUUUACUUAACAUUGCCUUCUCUUCUUUCCUUCUUCCUCUGUGCUCUUUUCUUAUCUUUCUUUCUCUUCCUUUCUCUACUGGUCGUUUUCCCUCCCUGUCCUCUUAUUCUCUUCCCAUUUUUUCCCUCCCUCUCAUAAAUUUAAUUUCCACCAUAUAAAAAUCAUCGGCCGAGGUUCUAUAUUAUUUUUUUUCAUGAUAGUUACGUCAUUGAAAACUACACGAAUAGAGAAAAGAGAGAGAGAGAGAGGCAGAGAAAUACUUAAUAUAAUGAGAUGGGAGUGAUGAAGAGAAAACGAAGAGGAGAAAAAGAAACUUACAUUACUUAGAUUAUUGUACAGUAUUCAAUCACUCACGGAAUCUUUUUAUUUAUUUUAUUUUAUUUUUUUCGUUCUCUUCUCCCUCAUCGACAUUCUUCUUUCGGAACGCUCAGAAAAGAACUAAAAAAAGAAAGAACAAUAAAGGAGGAAGCGAUAAAUCUGAUAGAAAAGGACGCACAGACAAUAAAUAACAGAGUUACGGAAAAAGGAGGAGGGCCAAAGAUACAGAAAGAAAGAAAGAGAGAAAGGAAAGUAAGGAAAAAAAAAUAACACGGAGAGAUAGAAACUGAACCAAACACAGACGAGACGAAGAGAAGAAUAUACAAUAACUAACCUCCAUCAAUCACUCAAUACACAACUCAGGUCAUACUCGUCCAAUACAAAUCACCGUCAACCACAAGUAAUGUAGUAACGUCACUCGCUAGUCAGUCAAGGCACAGUGAAGCCGCGGAUCACACACACACACACACAGAUCUUUGCAAGUCAAAUCAGCGACCCAACCAGUCACUCCAUCAAACGAAGCCACAAGUCACAAGUUAAGACAGCGCCGUGAAUUACAAGGUACCAGUGAACAGUAGCGCUUCCCGGCAGAAGAGUCAGCGGGCAGGAGGAGAAGGAGGAGGAGGAGGAGGAGGAGGAGGAGGAGGAGGAUAGAGUAUAGAAGCGAGUCACAAAGGGAAAGACCCGCCCGAUAAGUCACCGAAGCUAUCAGGAGGAGACCAGUUGGAAAGCCGCGACGUCACACCGUGCCUGCUGAGUGGUGGUGGCAGCAGAGGCGACAGAUUCCUGGAAACUCGUAAAGAUCACCUCUCGGGUGUUUGAGCACCUGCCCGGCACGUGAGGCGUCCUGCUGGGCACCGCGGUCACCCAGGGCACACAGGGCCGCCCAAAGUCCUCCAGGCCGACGGGGCGUGAGGGAGGGAGCCUGCGCCCCUCCCUCCCCCUCCCUCCCACCACCCAUCCCUCCUCCCUGAAAAUGGACACUCUUGGUGACGUCUGACUCGCCUUGCCGCCAGCUAUGUCGGGCCAGGUCACGGGCGUCCCCACCACCGCCCUGCCGGAGGCCACCACGCAGGGGCCAAUAGGGGGCGGUGGGACGCUCCCUGACGAGACUGGGGUUCUGGUGGAGGGAGGAGGCCCCUUGCCGGAGGAGAACGGUGGAGAGGCCCUGAUGGAAGUGAACUGCUCCAUGCCCUGUGGGAACUACACGGCGCCCACCAAUACCUCCAACGUGCCCGGCGACUCCUACUACUUCUACGAGGUGAGUACUGCACGCCCUUGUGUCCCUCGCCCCGACACAAUACUGCAUAUUUACCCGCACAUUCCUUGGUCCGAUAGGUACCACUCGUUACAUAUACAUACCCAUCAGCUCGAAUUGUAGGACCGUUUGCCCUUACGCCCCUCGCCCCUAUAGACACUGCCGCACACACUUGUCCCUCAACCUGACAGACUACAGCACUCCCUUACGUCUCUCGGCCCUUCACACAGAACUGCACGCUCCUGUCUCACUUCUGCCCGACAGGAAGUACUGUUUAUCCGUACGUCCUUCGGUCCGACAGAUAGUACUGCUUACUUUUAUAUCCCCCAGUUCAACAGGUAAUACUACACACUCCUGUGAACCUCUACAUGAGAAAUACUCCACCAUUGCUUGACUUCUCUCGUGUCCCUCGGCAAGACAAAACAUUCUAGGUAUCACGGAUCGCUCGGCCAGUCCUCAAGAAUGAAGUGUUGUGUAGUGUGUGUCUUGUCUUUCCGCUGGUACUCGAAUGA